AUCUAUAUAAUUUUACUUUCAAAUCCACUUUCAAUUAACUUUUCAUAUUAAUAUUCAUUUAAAUAAAUUUAUUGUAAUUCAUUUCUACUUAAAUAUAAGCUACACCUUGAUCUGAAAUAAGUUCAUAAUUAAAACUUAAGAAAAUUAUUUAUUCUUUUAAAAUAUUCUGAUAACGACGGUAUAUAAACUGAAAAACAAACUUAAGUAAGGUCCAACGCGGAUUAUCAAUUACAGAACAAAUUCCUCUGAAUAGACUAAAAUACCGCCAAAUUUUUUAAGUUUCAAGACCAUAACUAUUAC
rnacentral:rRNA from 1 species